rnacentral:tRNA from 1 species
UGGCUCAACUGGUAGAGCAUGACACUUACAUUGUCAGGGUUGUGGGUUCAAUUCCCAC